UACAUACUCCCUCCGUUCGGAAUUACUUGUCUCGGAAAUGGAUGUAUCUAAAAUUAAAAUAAGUCUAGAUACAUCCAUUUUUGUGACAAGUAAUUCCGAACGGAGGGAGUACAUC
rnacentral:pre_miRNA from 1 species